GAUCUGAAACCAGUGUCCGAAUCAUCCACGCCAGGCUACACGCUCAGGCCCUGACAUUGGCCGGUCUAGCUGGAGCAGCUGCAGUUGAGUACUAUGAUCACAAAACUGGAGCCACCGAUCGUUACCCCAAAUUUCUCAAGCCUGAUAACUUGAAUAAAGACUAAAAAAAUUCUUACCAUAGCUGAUGUUCCCUAGAACUAUUCUAGUCAUAUUAUAGCUACUGAAUUUUUUUUAAUGUUUCUUUAAUCCUUGUGUCCCGUACUGUGAAAUGAAUUAAUUCUGGGUUAUAUAAUCCAUACGCCGUGCAGAUUGUUUGCUAAUACGGGAUGCUUAUCUGUAAGAGAUACACAUUCAGAAAAAUAAUGCAUAUUUAUAUUCCUUCAUGAAACUGGUCCUUCUUCUAUCUCUAAUUCAAAUUAUUCAUUACCUCUGUGUAACUGGUUUGGCGUAUAUAAGUAAUACAUUUAAUUUAUACACGAACUCAAAUGUUAUUACUAUGUAAACACAAUUCAGAUUUUAUAUACUUUUGGUAAAGAAAGUUUGAUUGGUUAAUAGUUGAAGGCGAAGCUAGCAUAUGUAAACACAUUCCCCAACUAUGCAUGUAAGCUUUUUACCAACGAUCAACUAAGAAAUACUUAACUUGGGCUAGUCGUGUCCGGCCCAUGUCUAAAAAACCCAACAAUUUUGCCGUUUAAGGCUUGUGAAUGAGAGAUGUGUGAAAGUCCCACAUCGCUUACACUUAAAGGGAAGGUCUCGCUAAGCAGAGUAUAAGAAGAGAAGGGGAGCGAACAAGCAAACCACUUACCUGGACGGGGUCAACUCGUGAUCAAGAAGACGAGUGGCCUAGGCUAGUGACCUCCAUUGCACUGAGGAGGGGCGCUUAGCCUAAGGUCUCCCCUAGUGGGAGAGCCUGCGUCAUUAUUUGUGGCAGAGGGAGUCUGCGUUCGCGCGGCUCCUACCAU